rnacentral:rRNA from 1 species
AGCGAACGCUGGCGGCGUGCCUAACACAUGCAAGUCGAACGUGAAAGGGGGAAACCCUGAGUAAAGUGGCGUACGGGUGAGUAACACGUAGGUAAUCUACCCCAGAGUCUGGAAUAACCUGCCGAAAGGCGGGCUAAUACUGGAUAGAGCGACGGAAUCCGUAAUUGGGUUUUUCGGGAAAGGGAGGAAGCAAUUCCCUUCGCUCUGGGAUGAGCCUGCGUCUCAUUAGCUAGUUGGUGGGUAAAAGCCCACAAGGCGAUGAUGAGUAGCUGGUCUGAGAGGAUGAUCAGCCACACUGGAACUGAAACACGGUCCAGACUCCUACGGGAGGCUG